AUAUUGAGUUCAAUUUAUAUUUGGUACCUGAUUAUAAAUUCUGCUUUAUAUAAAAAAUUUCAAAAAGAAAAUUACUAUAAAGAUUUUUUAUUUAGUGUGAAUAAAACAGUAUUUUAUUUACGAGAUAAAUAAAACCAGUAUAUUCUUCUGAAUAUAGGUAUAUCCAAAAUAAUAGUAUAUACUAAUUUACAUAAUUAGGAAAUAAAAUAAUUGUAGUUUAUAUGAUGUAUAUAAAUCUCUUUCCUUCUUGUGUGUUUUCGACUAGACAAAGAAAUAUAUUCAUUUUUUGCAAUAGUUUUUUUUGUAAAUAGUUGAAAAGGAAAUAUAUCCUUUGCAAUUUUGUGAAGAAAACAAAAGAGACUACAAAAAAAGCUCUAUAAUAAAAAAAAGCUCUAUAAUAAAGAGCAGGGACAGGGAAUAUUAUGGUAGUUAAAAAAUAAUAAUUUAAGCCUUAUGUUACAAAAAAAAAAAAUAUAUCCUUGAGGCCCUCCACCGUGUGGAAACUUACGAGGUUGGUCGGUGUUAGCGGCGCGGAGAACCAGAACCGUCGAGGAUUACAUCAUCACUCGUCAAUUUAGCCGUUCCACAUUUGAAUUUUAUUUAAUAACCUGUCUUGUUUUUCAUACAUCUGUAUCCAAUAACAAUCUGCACAAAGCUUCUCUACUCGUACUUCCUCUCUGUUAUUAGUUAUUUAAUUUAUACUGUCUCUCUCCCUAUAUAAAUAGUUUCUUUUAAUAUUUUUUUUUGCUAAAGCUAUAAAUAGUUUCAUAAUUUAUACUGUCU
rnacentral:lncRNA from 1 species